CUCCGCAGUCUAAGAAAAUCUGAUAUAGAAGGGGGCUUCACACAGGACCAAACUAUCCCAGAAGAUACCUGUGGAGAAUGCAAAUAAAUAUGUCUUCUUUGAGAUAUGGUCACGUUGCAGAGCCUACAGGAAAAAAUCUGAGCAGGACUGUGCCUCUUCUAACAGUAUAUUCUGGGAGCAAGAACUUGCUGAGCUCAGGUGCUACGUGUGCAACUCAAGCUAGAAGACCUUGAGGCUAUGAAAGCACAAAGAAGAAGCUGAGGCUGCAGCUAAGAUAAGGGGGAAGCUCGCCUGGGAAGAGACUGAGUAAUGGAAUACAAAGAACAAUGCGAUGAUUAAUGCUGUAUCUGUAGCUAGGCGAGCGAGGUGUGUGACUCCACGGCCAAUGGUAUUGUAGGGCCAGGGGCUCUCGCAAUGCUUCAACCAAUUAUAA
ensembl:lncRNA